CUUGGAGAGACAGCUUUACGUCCCGGAAUACAGAAAUCAUGGGUCUGAGGAUGGCGUGCUGCACAGCCAAUGCCAGUCUCAGGUGGGGUGCAGCCUACGGAGAGUAGGGGUCCCUGCAUGGUCUGCAUCACCAGAGGCGGUGCAAUCCACAGACGGGACAGCAUGCCAGGCUGUACUGCUAAGGGCAAUCUCGUGGGGGUGGGGGUGCAAUCUGCAAAUAUGACAGGUCACAGUUGAUAAUGCUGUAGCCAUUUAGAGCACUCUCAUAUAGCAUUGUGGCCAGAGGAGACAACAGCCCUACCUUGCAGGGCUACUGUGCCAGCCCAGGAGCAUUCUCAUAUGAUAGUGAAGAUCAUAUGAGCAGCAGGUUCCAUCAUGCCUUUCUCUCUGUUGACUGUUGUGCUUUCACAUGUUCAAUGGGUCUGCCCAGGAACUAGCAGUCUCCAUUUUCAUGAGCACUUUCAUCACAGAAAUGUAGGGCUGGAAGGGACCUCAAGAGGUCAUCGAGCCUGGUCACGCACACUGAGGCAGGGUGGAAUCCAAUCUAAACCAUACCUUGUGCUUCUGCCACUGGGUAGCCUGAUGACAUGGCCAAACCACCGCAGCCUUGUGGGUGUGCAUAGUAUAGUUAUACCUGGUGUACACCUCCGUCAUUUCUCACCCUGGCUCCCUACACACCCGUGCCAAACAACCCCCUCUUUUGAACCCCCCUUCCAUGUCUUAUUUCCAUAACUCCUUAUGCCUCCCAGUACCCUGCCACCCCCUUUGAUAUACUUAGUACACUACAGCUUCCUCCAAUACCACCUUGUCUGUCUGCACCACCACCUCCUUUUCUCCUUCCUCCCCCAAGGCCCCUCAGUUCACAGACUGGGCCUCGUGCACCCAAGUCCAUAUCCCUCCCAACCCACCAUCCCUUCAUCUAUAGCCUUCUGUCUUGAAUAAUUUCCUUAUCUCAUAGUCCCCAGAUGAACCCCCAUUUCUGGCUCAACCCAACAGUUGCUGUAACAUCCAGCUGUACUCAGCAGCAAGUCUGUGUUUUAUAAAUGUGUACGUUGAUAGCUUAAACAUUGCUCUUUGUAAACAGUUUUCAAAACUCCAUAACUUUUCAGAAAAGCUCUAUUGUGGGAUAAGAUAUUGCAUGUGACAUUUUGGGAAGAUCAAUUUCUUAUGAGGAAACUGAAGAGGGAGGAGGAAAUGUUGUAUUUUUUUAAAAAAAUCCAAGCUCAAAGAACCUCAUUAAGCUCCACUGAAAUCAACUGGAGUCUUUUGAUUGACUUCAGUUGGCACAAGAUCAGGUACAUAACAGGAAGUUAACUUCAUUCUUAAGUAGCUACACUUACUUUCAUGUUUUUUUCAUUGUAGGAUAUCUAAUCACCUACUUUGAGGUUAAUGUUUACUCUCAGACUGGAAACUAUGCCUUGAGUGAGAGGUAUUAAGAACGUUUUUGGGAGGUGGGGGGAGCAGCAGUUCCUUUCCCCACACUUUAAAUACUGCUGAGGCUUGAAAAUUUUUUUUUAAUUAAAAUUAGGGUUCUGUAACAAUCUGAGUCAAUAAAGGACAUAUAUGUACUGAUAUGCAGGUGACACUUGGAACCCAUUGAGGGCCAAAGUAUGACUUACCUCUACAUUAAGAUCCAAAUAUACAUUUGAAAUGACAACUCUGCAUGAGCUCCCUGUUAUGGUAGCCUCAACUGACAGAGUGAUAGUGCUGUGUAGGGAGUCUUGCAUUGUUGUCACCCACCAGUGUCAUCCAUUUUACAUUAGUGAAGGAAGAUAUGUAUAAAAUUACUGUAAUAAUCAAAAAACCUCCUUAUACAUGUGUAAUUGUUUAUUAAGGUCUCAGCUGAUCUCUUUAAAAAAAUUUAUUCUCCCUACUCUGGAAUUUCCAAGAUACUCCAGCAGGAACUGAUCCCACUCUGGCCAAAAAUUCCAUUCCCCUACUGUCAUGCACCUGGCUGGCAUUGGAUUGGCUACUGCCCUCACAGAGAGGAAACUGUAUUUCAAUGUUGAGUGGUAGCCGUGUCAGUCUGUAUCAGCAAAAAGAACAAGGAGUACUUGUGGCACCUUAGAGACUAACAAAUUUAUUUUCUCUAAGGUGCCACAAGUACUCCUCGUUCUUUUUGUAUUUCAGUGGUGGUAGAAGCAAGUACUUUAUGAACUUUCAGGAUGGACGACAGUAAAUUAAAAAAUAAAUAUUUUCAGUACCCAAAACAGGCUACAGGUUGGUUUGAGAUCCUUCCACUUUAUGGAGAGUGAGUUAUGAAAGAGAGUGCUUAGUUUAGAAAUUCAAAUUUAUUUACAAAUGUUCACUGAAAAAAAAUCUAUCGUUCUAAAUAAACUCGACUUCUGUAAGAUCCUGCAACGGAAGAUCACCAAACUCAUUCACAUGCUGUUUUGCAAAUUUAUCCCUGUAUAAAAAAAUUAUUCUACCUGGAGUCAAUGACAGAGGAAGAGGUGAUAAACUAAAAGUAAACUGUUCUAAAAACCAUAUAACUACCAGGUUUCUCCAGUCCUCUUUUCUUCCCCACUUUAAAAAUAAGCUAAAAGAAUUUGGGUCACACUCUAGCAAAUGGGAAAAGCUAAACAGAAGUUUGGCUUCUCUAAAAAGGUACACAAGAAUCAGUCUUCUUGAAUUCAAACUUACUACAUAACACCAAGCCUGAUCCUGCAGUCUUGAGUCCAGACAAGAUCUAUACUGAAUUAGGAAUUUUGCCUGAGUAAGGACUGCAGUGUUUCACUUUGAAUAACAGAGUAC